GAGAGAGAGAGAGAGAGGGAGUACAUGUACAGCGUCCUGCCACAGAAUAUGGUUUGAGGAUCAUCAGCACCUCGCUUCCGUGUGUGUGUGUGUGUGUAUAUAUUGGUGUAAAACACCCGGGGCUCAGCCACUUGUAAUUGCACAGUAAAUGUAAUUGACCCACCCCAACAGCCACUUCAGAAGAAGAAGAAGAAGAAGAAGAAGAAACCCAAAUAGAAAGGCGAAGGUAAAGAUUAAUUUGCAGGGCAAUGGAUGUUGAGAAUUUAGAAAAGAAAACAAGCUAGAUAGAUCGACCCCUUUCCAGUUUCCAGGUACGUCGUUACUAUUGAUUCUGACGCAGUAACUGGGUGGGGCAGUAUGAAUUGCAGUACUGCAAUUGGGGGGACCGGCAAUCGAUCGCCAGAAAGAACGCGCGGGGACUAUUAUUCCCUUCCCUUUAAAUGUCUGUUUUGUGAUUCGUUCAGUGCGUGCGAGAGUUGUAAAUCUAUAUAUUACAGUCAUAAUUAAUUUAUGUAUUCUAUCUACAAAACCUUUUUCUUUUCUUUUAUUUUUUCCCUUUUUUUUGAGGAAGUUUUGUGCAUGCUACGCCUGAUAUAUGUUAAUGUUGAAUGUACGGUUAUUUGAGAAAUUGAAAUUUGAUCUUUGAAUGCAGGUCACCAAAAAAAAA